CUCGGGUGACGAGCGGCGGACGGGUGAGUAAUGUCUGGGAAACUGCCUGAUGGAGGGGGAUAACUACUGGAAACGGUAGCUAAUACCGCAUAACGUCGCAAGACCAAAGUGGGGGACCUUCGGGCCUCAUGCCAUCAGAUGUGCCCAGAUGGGAUUAGCUAGUAGGUGGGGUAACGGCUCACCUAGGCGACGAUCCCUAGCUGGUCUGAGAGGAUGACCAGCCACACUGGAACUGAGACACGGUCCAGACUCCUACGGGAGGCAGCAGUGGGGAAUAUUGCACAAUGGGCGCAAGCCUGAUGCAGCCAUGCCGCGUGUGUGAAGAAGGCCUUCGGGUUGUAAAGUACUUUCAGCGGGGAGGAAGGCGAUAAGGUUAAUAACCUUGUCGAUUGACGUUACCCGCAGAAGAAGCACCGGCUAACUCCGUGCCAGCAGCCGCGGUAAUACGGAGGGUGCAAGCGUUAAUCGGAAUUACUGGGCGUAAAGCGCACGCAGGCGGUCUGUCAAGUCGGAUGUGAAAUCCCCGGGCUCAACCUGGGAACUGCAUUCGAAACUGGCAGGCUAGAGUCUUGUAGAGGGGGGUAGAAUUCCAGGUGUAGCGGUGAAAUGCGUAGAGAUCUGGAGGAAUACCGGUGGCGAAGGCGGCCCCCUGGACAAAGACUGACGCUCAGGUGCGAAAGCGUGGGGAGCAAACAGGAUUAGAUACCCUGGUAGUCCACGCCGUAAACGAUGUCGAUUUGGAGGUUGUGCCCUUGAGGCGUGGCUUCCGGAGCUAACGCGUUAAAUCGACCGCCUGGGGAGUACGGCCGCAAGGUUAAAACUCAAAUGAAUUGACGGGGGCCCGCACAAGCGGUGGAGCAUGUGGUUUAAUUCGAUGCAACGCGAAGAACCUUACCUGGUCUUGACAUCCACAGAACUUAGCAGAGAUGCUUUGGUGCCUUCGGGAACUGUGAGACAGGUGCUGCAUGGCUGUCGUCAGCUCGUGUUGUGAAAUGUUGGGUUAAGUCCCGCAACGAGCGCAACCCUUAUCCUUUGUUGCCAGCGGUUCGGCCGGGAACUCAAAGGAGACUGCCAGUGAUAAACUGGAGGAAGGUGGGGAUGACGUCAAGUCAUCAUGGCCCUUACGACCAGGGCUACACACGUGCUACAAUGGCAUAUACAAAGAGAAGCGACCUCGCGAGAGCAAGCGGACCUCAUAAAGUAUGUCGUAGUCCGGAUUGGAGUCUGCAACUCGACUCCAUGAAGUCGGAAUCGCUAGUAAUCGUAGAUCAGAAUGCUACGGUGAAUACGUUCCCGGGCCUUGUACACACCGCCCGUCACACCAUGGGAGUGGGUUGCAAAAGAAGUAGGUAGCUUAACCUUCGGGAGGG
rnacentral:rRNA from 1 species